CGGUGUGCCUAAUACAUGCAAGUCGUACGCACUGGCCCAACUGAUUGAUGGUGCUUGCACCGGAUUGACGUUGGAUCACCAGUGAGUGGCGGACGGGUGAGUAACACGUAGGUAACCUGCCCCGGAGCGGGGGAUAACAUUUGGAAACAGAUGCUAAUACCGCAUAACAACAAAAGCCACAUGGCUUUUGUUUGAAAGAUGGCUUUGGCUAUCACUCUGGGAUGGACCUGCGGUGCAUUAGCUAGUUGGUAAGGUAACGGCUUACCAAGGCGAUGAUGCAUAGCCGAGUUGAGAGACUGAUCGGCCACAAUGGAACUGAGACACGGUCCAUACUCCUACGGGAGGCAGCAGUAGGGAAUCUUCCACAAUGGGCGCAAGCCUGAUGGAGCAACACCGCGUGAGUGAAGAAGGGUUUCGGCUCGUAAAGCUCUGUUGUUGGAGAAGAACGUGCGUGAGAGUAACUGUUCACGCAGUGACGGUAUCCAACCAGAAAGUCACGGCUAACUACGUGCCAGCAGCCGCGGUAAUACGUAGGUGGCAAGCGUUAUCCGGAUUUAUUGGGCGUAAAGCGAGCGCAGGCGGUUGCUUAGGUCUGAUGUGAAAGCCUUCGGCUUAACCGAAGAAGUGCAUCGGAAACCGGGCGACUUGAGUGCAGAAGAGGACAGUGGAACUCCAUGUGUAGCGGUGGAAUGCGUAGAUAUAUGGAAGAACACCAGUGGCGAAGGCGGCUGUCUGGUCUGCAACUGACGCUGAGGCUCGAAAGCAUGGGUAGCGAACAGGAUUAGAUACCCUGGUAGUCCAUGCCGUAAACGAUGAGUGCUAGGUGUUGGAGGGUUUCCGCCCUUCAGUGCCGGAGCUAACGCAUUAAGCACUCCGCCUGGGGAGUACGACCGCAAGGUUGAAACUCAAAGGAAUUGACGGGGGCCCGCACAAGCGGUGGAGCAUGUGGUUUAAUUCGAAGCUACGCGAAGAACCUUACCAGGUCUUGACAUCUUGCGCUAACCUUAGAGAUAAGGCGUUCCCUUCGGGGACGCAAUGACAGGUGGUGCAUGGUCGUCGUCAGCUCGUGUCGUGAGAUGUUGGGUUAAGUCCCGCAACGAGCGCAACCCUUGUUACUAGUUGCCAGCAUUAAGUUGGGCACUCUAGUGAGACUGCCGGUGACAAACCGGAGGAAGGUGGGGACGACGUCAGAUCAUCAUGCCCCUUAUGACCUGGGCUACACACGUGCUACAAUGGACGGUACAACGAGUCGCAAGCUCGCGAGAGUAAGCUAAUCUCUUAAAGCCGUUCUCAGUUCGGACUGUAGGCUGCAACUCGCCUACACGAAGUCGGAAUCGCUAGUAAUCGCGGAUCAGCAUGCCGCGGUGAAUACGUUCCCGGGCCUUGUACACACCGCCCGUCACACCAUGGGAGUUUGUAACGCCCAAAGUCGGUGGCCUAACCUUUAUGGAGGGAGCCGCCUAAGGCGGGACAGAUGACUGGGGUGAAG
rnacentral:rRNA from 1 species